AUCGCUAUGGCUUAGUGGGAAAGCGCCAGGCUCAUACCUACUGCUGUGAUCACCUGGAGAUCCCUCGAUCGAAACGAGGUGGCGAUA